UGACCUCGGAUCAGGUAGGCAUACCCGCUGAACUUAAGCAUAUCAAAGGCGGGGAGAGAAGA
rnacentral:rRNA from 1 species